ACGUGACCUAAUAAAUCAUGGGCAUAAGUCCAAUCAUCAUAGAUCCAUAUGUGUUAUCGGCAGAACCCUCCUUUGUGACGGACCCUCAAUCCUUAAGAAGCAGCGAGCGAUCAAGCUAAAGAGAUUUCCAAUUACUAGCUUUUGUUAUUCAGAAUGUUGGGUCGAAGCAGGUUCCUCUCGUUUCCCAUGGUAAUGGGUGCGGUCAUCAUCGGUGUUGUUUCUGGGAAAGCAAUAUUUGGGCCACCUCUUGAUGAAUACUGGAAAAAGAAGCUGGAAGAAGAGGCGGCCGCAAAGGAGACAGGUACUAGUACUACCAGCUCAACUUAGCAUAGGUCAGGAUUCGGGAUAGUCAUGCUUAGCAACAUGGAUAUGUAGAGCUAGGAGAAAUAUGUUUUCGAUGAAACAAUCAUUGAAUAUGUAUAAUCUUGCAUGGAUAUUUAUGCAUAAAACACCCAAGAAUUUGCAAAGGUUAUCUUCUUUUACUUGGGACACCAUGUGGAUUAUCUACAAAAAAGAAUGGUCCAAUAGGAACCAACAAGGCCUUCCCUUUUGGCUAAACCACUAAAAGGUAUGUUCGGUUGUAAUUUUGACAAUGUUAAACUUAAAUUCACUUUUUUCACUGCCAAAGUCAUUUCAAACAGCUCUUUUCACCGUGA